rnacentral:rRNA from 1 species
AUUGAACGCUGGCGGCAGGCCUAACACAUGCAAGUCGAGCGGAUGAAGGGAGCUUGCUCCUGGAUUCAGCGGCGGACGGGUGAGUAAUGCCUAGGAAUCUGCCUGGUAGUGGGGGAUAACGUCCGGAAACGGGCGCUAAUACCGCAUACGUCCUGAGGGAGAAAGUGGGGGAUCUUCGGACCUCACGCUAUCAGAUGAGCCUAGGUCGGAUUAGCUAGUUGGUGGGGUAAAGGCCUACCAAGGCGACGAUCCGUAACUGGUCUGAGAGGAUGAUCAGUCACACUGGAGCUGAGACACGGUCCAGACUCCUACGGGAGGCAGCAGUGGGGAAUAUUGGACAAUGGGCGAAAGCCUGAUCCAGCAAUGCCGCGUGUGUGAAGAAGGUCUUCGGAUUGUAAAGCACUUUAAGUUGGGAGGAAGGGCAGUAAGUUAAUACCUGGCUGUUUUGACGGUACCAACAGAAUAAGCACCGGCUAACUUCGUG